UACGGGGGGGGCAAGCGUUGUUCGGAAUUACUGGGCGUAAAGGGCUCGUAGGCGGCCAACUAAGUCAGACGUGAAAUCCCUCGGCUUAACCGGGGAACUGCGUCUGAUACUGGAUGGCUUGAGUUUGGGAGAGGGAUGCGGAAUUCCAGGUGUAGCGGUGAAAUGCGUAGAUAUCUGGAGGAACACCGGUGGCGAAGGCGGCAUCCUGGACCAACACUGACACUGAGGAGCGAAAGCCAGGGGAGCAAACGGG
rnacentral:rRNA from 1 species